rnacentral:tRNA from 1 species
GCCCUUGUGGCGGAAUUGGCAGACGCGCAGCGUUCAGGACGCUGUGCUCAUUAUGAGCGUAGAGGUUCAAGUCCUCUCAAGGGCA